GAACGCUGGCGGCGUGCCUAAUACAUGCAAGUCGAACGAACUCUGGUAUUGAUUGGUGCUUGCAUCAUGAUUUACAUUUGAGUGAGUGGCGAACUGGUGAGUAACACGUGGGAAACCUGCCCAGAAGCGGGGGAUAACACCUGGAAACAGAUGCUAAUACCGCAUAACAACUUGGACCGCAUGGUCCGAGUUUGAAAGAUGGCUUCGGCUAUCACUUUUGGAUGGUCCCGCGGCGUAUUAGCUAGAUGGUGGGGUAACGGCUCACCAUGGCAAUGAUACGUAGCCGACCUGAGAGGGUAAUCGGCCACAUUGGGACUGAGACACGGCCCAAACUCCUACGGGAGGCAGCAGUAGGGAAUCUUCCACAAUGGACGAAAGUCUGAUGGAGCAACGCCGCGUGAGUGAAGAAGGGUUUCGGCUCGUAAAACUCUGUUGUUAAAGAAGAACAUAUCUGAGAGUAACUGUUCAGGUAUUGACGGUAUUUAACCAGAAAGCCACGGCUAACUACGUGCCAGCAGCCGCGGUAAUACGUAGGUGGCAAGCGUUGUCCGGAUUUAUUGGGCGUAAAGCGAGCGCAGGCGGUUUUUUAAGUCUGAUGUGAAAGCCUUCGGCUCAACCGAAGAAGUGCAUCGGAAACUGGGAAACUUGAGUGCAGAAGAGGACAGUGGAACUCCAUGUGUAGCGGUGAAAUGCGUAGAUAUAUGGAAGAACACCAGUGGCGAAGGCGGCUGUCUGGUCUGUAACUGACGCUGAGGCUCGAAAGUAUGGGUAGCAAACAGGAUUAGAUACCCUGGUAGUCCAUACCGUAAACGAUGAAUGCUAAGUGUUGGAGGGUUUCCGCCCUUCAGUGCUGCAGCUAACGCAUUAAGCAUUCCGCCUGGGGAGUACGGCCGCAAGGCUGAAACUCAAAGGAAUUGACGGGGGCCCGCACAAGCGGUGGAGCAUGUGGUUUAAUUCGAAGCUACGCGAAGAACCUUACCAGGUCUUGACAUACUAUGCAAAUCUAAGAGAUUAGACGUUCCCUUCGGGGACAUGGAUACAGGUGGUGCAUGGUUGUCGUCAGCUCGUGUCGUGAGAUGUUGGGUUAAGUCCCGCAACGAGCGCAACCCUUAUUAUCAGUUGCCAGCAUUAAGUUGGGCACUCUGGUGAGACUGCCGGUGACAAACCGGAGGAAGGUGGGGAUGACGUCAAAUCAUCAUGCCCCUUAUGACCUGGGCUACACACGUGCUACAAUGGAUGGUACAACGAGUUGCGAACUCGCGAGAGUAAGCUAAUCUCUUAAAGCCAUUCUCAGUUCGGAUUGUAGGCUGCAACUCGCCUACAUGAAGUCGGAAUCGCUAGUAAUCGCGGAUCAGCAUGCCGCGGUGAAUACGUUCCCGGGCCUUGUACACACCGCCCGUCACACCAUGAGAGUUUGUAACACCCAAAGUCGGUGGGGUAACCUUUUAGGAACCAGCCGCCUAAGGUGGGACAGAUGAUUAGGGUG
rnacentral:rRNA from 2 species